AGGACUCGGGAGCCUCGACAUGGUGGGGCGGAUUCCAGAAUUUUUUAAAGUUCACAACACAAGAGUGGACGAAAUGUCGGAGCUUUUUCUCAUAUCCAGAAAUGUGGCCUCUGCCUCCCACCCGGGCCCUGCGGUGCAGACGGGUUCAGGGCGGCGAGGACUGAGCCAGGAGCGCAGAGUUCCAGCUGCUCCCAGGCUGGGUUCUAAUUAACACUGGACCCCUGCUGUCUUUGCCAGUUCCAUGCUGUAUACACAUAAUGAGCCGUUAGGACUCCAGCACCAAAGCUAACGCCCCGGGAACAUCUUUAAAACCUUUUCACUCAGUUGCCAGGACGAGUAGUACCUGCUGUCAGUACUUGAAUUACAGGAGGCUGAAACUAAGCGAGCUACCGGGAUUUUUUGAAAAUUGAAAACUUCCGUUAACUAUAGCAGAAACAGACCC
rnacentral:lncRNA from 1 species